GACGAACGCUGGCGGCGUGCUUAACACAUGCAAGUCGAACGGUGAAGCGCCUUCCUUUUUGGUGGGUGUGGAUGAGUGGCGAACGGGUGAGUAACACGUGAGUAACCUGCCCCCUUCUUCUGGAUAACCGCAUGAAAGUGUGGCUAAUACGGGAUAUUCUGGGUCUGUCGCAUGAUGGGUCUGGGAAAGAUAUUGUUUCGGUGGGGGAUGGGCUCGCGGCCUAUCAGCUUGUUGGUGGGGUGAUGGCCUACCAAGGCGGUGACGGGUAGCCGGCCUGAGAGGGUGGACGGUCACACUGGGACUGAGACACGGCCCAGACUCCGACGGGAGGCAGCAGUGGGGAAUAGUGCACAAUGGGCGCAAGCCUGAUGCAGCGACGCCGCGUGAGGGAUGGAGGCCUUCGGGUUGUGAACCUCUUUCGCCAGUGAAGCAGGCCUGCCUCGUUUGUGGGUGGGUUGACGGUAGCUGGAUAAGAAGCACCGGCUAACUACGUG
rnacentral:rRNA from 1 species